GUAUGCUGUGUUCAUGCCAUGACACUCAUUAAAAACAAGCUCUGACCUUUCUAGCUGGAAAUCUGAUUUUUUUUUAAGAGCUCCAGUGUUUCAGAACUCAAUUCAAGCAACAUCAUGUGACAGUCGAGAAAGACAGGAAACGCAGGGGAGAUGGAGGCGAUGACAUGCGGUAAGCGGCCCAGGCUGGAUUCGAACCCCGGCUGCUGUGCAACGUUCGGGGCGGCCGCUGUGAGCCGUAACAUGCCGUGACUGACAGGUAACCUGCGGGG